GACGAACGCUGGCGGCGUGCUUAACACAUGCAAGUCGAACGACGUGGAGAACGGGUGAGUAAUAUGUCGGUAACCUGCCCUCCUUUUUGGGAUAAGCCUUGGAAACGGGGUCUAAAACCGAAUAAAGGGGGUGGGGCUCGCGGCGUAUCUGCUUGUUGGGGGGGUGAUGGCCUACCAAGGCGGUGACGGGUAGUCGGCCUGAGAGGGUGACCGGCCACGUUGGGACUGAGAGACGGUCCAGAGUCCCACGGUAGGGAGCAGUUGCGUGUAUUGCACAAUGGACGACAGCCUGAUGCAGCGACACGGCGAGGGGGAUGAAGGCUGUCGGGUUGUAAACCUCUUUGGCUAUCGAACGGGUAGGUGGAGAAGAAGCGCCGGCUAACUACGUGCCAGCAGCCGCGGUAAUAC
rnacentral:rRNA from 1 species